GCUCCAGUAGGUGUGCUCCCCCUCUAGUAAGUGAUGCAGGCUGUGAAUGUAGUUUGUAUGAUCAUCUUCGAUGUAGACUGUGGUUCCAAUUUUGCCCGCGAAUGUUUUAUUUCAAAUUAUGCAGUUUGAUUAUACGGGUUCUGUUCUGCGGCGCAACAUUUCGUCCCGCAAAACCCCACUUCAUCAAACUGUAAAACACGUUUGCAGGUCGCAAUUAUACAUGGUCUGCUAGAGUUGCUCUAACCCUAUACAAUAGAACUACGGU
rnacentral:lncRNA from 1 species